rnacentral:rRNA from 1 species
UUCGACCUACGGGGCGCAGCAGUGAGGAAUAUUGCUCAAUGGGCUUACGCCUGAACCAGCCACGUCGCGUGAGGGAAGACUGCCCUAUGGGUUGUAAACCUCUUUUGUCAGGGAGCAAUUGGCGCUACGUGUAGCGUUAUCGAGAGUACCUGAAGAAAAAGCAUCGGCUAACUCCGUGCCAGCAGCCGCGGUAAUACGGAGGAUGCGAGCGUUAUCCGGAUUUAUUGGGUUUAAAGGGUGCGUAGGCGGAAUGCCAAGUCAGCGGUAAAAUCGCGGGGCUCAACCUCGCUCCGCCGUUGAACCGG